GAAGAACCUUACCAACCCAUGACAUGCCCGGACGGUUUCCAGAGAUGGAUUCCUCCUAGCAAUAGGUCUGGACACAGGUGCUGCAUGGCUGUGGUCAGUUCGUGUCUUGAGAUGUUGGGUUAAGUCCCGCAACGAGCGCAACCCUAGCCAUUAGUUGCGAUCAUUCAGUUGGGCACUCUAGUGGGACUGCCGGUGAUAAGCCGGAGGAAAAAAGGGAUGACGUCAAGUCAUCAUGGCCCUUACGGGUUGGGCUACACACGUGCUACAAUGGCGGUGACAGUGGGCAGCCACCUAGCAAUAGGCAGCUAAUCCCAAAAAGCCGUCUCAGUUCGGAUUGGGGUCUGCAACUCGACCCCAUGAAGUCGGAAUCGCUAGUAAUCGUAGAUCAGCACGCUACGGUGAAUACGUUCCCGGGCCUUGUACACACCGCCCGUCACACCAUGGGAGUUGGCUUUACCCGAAGACGGUGCGCUAACCGCAAGGAGGCAGCCGGCCACGGUAAGGUCAGCGACUG
rnacentral:rRNA from 1 species